rnacentral:sRNA from 1 species
UAGGAACCAGAGGGCCCCAUAACAGCCCC